UGUAUCUAUAUUAAACGAAAU
rnacentral:piRNA from 1 species